GGGAUGGCUGGCCGAGCGGUCGAUGGCAUCAGUCUUGAAAACUGACGGGCGUGUGAGCGCCCCGGGGGUUCGAAUCCCUCGCCACCCGCCA
rnacentral:tRNA from 1 species